UCCUACGGGGGGCAGCAGUGGGGAAUAUUGCGCAAUGGGCGAAAGCCUGACGCAGCGACGCCGCGUGAGGGAUGAAGGUCUUCGGAUCGUAAACCUCUGUCAGCAGGGAAGAACGGUCACUGUGCUAAUCAGCAGUGAAUUGACGGUACCUGCAAAGGAAGCACCGGCUAACUCCGUGCCAGCAGCCGCGGUAAUACGGAGGGUGCGAGCGUUAAUCGGAAUUACUGGGCGUAAAGCGCUCGUAGGCGGUAUGUCAAGUCAAGGGUGAAAUCCCCGCGCUAAACGGGGGAACUGCCUUGGAAACU
rnacentral:rRNA from 1 species